ensembl:lncRNA
GGAAGAGAGGCAAAGAGUGAUUCACAGUCUCAGAUCAACACAGCCCUGCCCUCCAGCACUAUCAGUAGCAGGAGCAGCAGCAACCCCUCAACAGCAACAUUGUACCCAUCAGGUAAAACAUAAGCUACGUUUGCUUUGCCUCACAACAGUCAUAUAGUAUGAUGCGAUCCCAUAUUAGAUUCUUGAUGAAUGUGUGUUGUUGUUAUUCAGCCUGGUUCAGUGUGCCCCUUUUUAGCUUUGAGCACCCGCCCCUAUAAACGUCUCUGCACAGCCCUGCCCCAGACGCCUUAACGCCCACUCACAUCCUGGGCCAUCUGACCUCAGGAACUCACAUGACAAGGUGGGGCCAGGUUUCACAAUGGGCUCACCCGAAACCCUGGCUGAUUAGGUACCACACCCGCUUUCACACCUUGGCUCAUGUGAUUAGAGGAUCACCAGGGGGUCCUUUGUCCCUCUUUGGGGGGAUACUCCCACUGGGUUUAAAUCUGGGACUCUCGGCCAUUUGACCUUAGAACUGAAGAAGCUUCUCGGAUGAGAGGUGAAACGUCUUCAAGCAACUCAAAGAAGUCCAGACGCUUUUCUUUGCAAAUUCCUUUGACUACGAUGACCUGGAUGACUGAGAACCUUCACAGACAUACUACUGUUACUCAUUUUAUAUUAAGAUUUUAAAAUCUAGUUGGUAUUGGUAUGGUGAAUAACCUUCAGUAAAAGUAAUAAAU